GCAAACUUGGUCAUUUAGAGGAAGUAAAAGUCGUAACAAGGUUUCCGUAGGUGAACCUGCGGAAGGAUCAUCAGUGGGGGAGUGUGGGGGGGUAUUGUAUAUAUAUCCUCCCACCCAACCUUGUGUGAACCGUGUCUUGUGUGUUGGUGGGGGGGGUGUGUCACAGCCGCUCACCACCAUCUCUAAUAUUAUCUCUUAACACCUUUGUCUAAGCUUGUCCACACAAAUACACACAACUUUUAACAAUGGAUCUCUUGGCUCUCGCAUCGAUGAAGAACGCAGC
rnacentral:misc_RNA from 1 species